rnacentral:rRNA from 1 species
AGCUAUAUGAAAUAAUAUAUAGUUAUUUCUGCUCAAUGAUUUUAAAUAGCCGCAGUACUCUGACUGUGCAAAGGUAGCAUAAUCAGUUGGCUUUUAAUUAGAGUCUAGUAUGAAUGAAAAUAUGGGUAGUAACUGUCUUAGCAUAUUUAUUUGAAAUUAUUAAACAAGUGCAAAUGCUUGUAGUUAAACAAUAGACGAGAAGACCCUAGAAACUUGAGCACGUUUUUGUUGGGGCGACAGAAUUACAUUUAACUAAUUUUAUAAUACAUGACACAAGGUUGUAAGAAUAAGUUACUCUAGGGAUAACAGCAUAAUUUCAUUAGUUUGUGACCUCGAUGUUGGACUAGGU